CCACAGAUGUGUAUAAGAGACAGGUGAGUCAUCGAAUCUUUGAACGCACAUUGCGCCCCUUGGUAUUCCGAGGGGCAUGCCUGUUCGAGCGUCAUUAUAACCACUCAAGCCUCGGCUUGGUCUUGGGGUGCGAGGUUUCUCGGCCCUUAAAAUCAGUGGCGGUGCCAUCUGGCUCUAAGCGUAGUAAUUCUUCUCGCUACAGAGUUCCGGGUGGUUGCUUGCCAGAACUCCCCCCUUUUAAGGUUGACCUCGGAUCAGGUAGGGAUACCCGCUGAACUUAAGCAUAUCAAUAAGCGGAGG
rnacentral:misc_RNA from 1 species